GACGAACGCUGGCGGCGUGCUUAACACAUGCAAGUCGAACGAUGAAGUUCCUUCGGGAAUGGAUUAGUGGCGAACGGGUGAGCAACACGUGAGAAACCUGCCUUUCAUUUUGGGAUAACUCCGGGAAACCGGAGCUAACACCGAAUACUCCGUCUUGGCGGCAUCGCUGAGCCGGGAAAAAAUUAUGAUGAAAGAUGGUCUCGCGGCCUAUCAGCUAGUUUGUGAGGUAAUGGCUCACCAAGGCGACGACGGGUAGCCGGCCUGAGGGGGCGACCGGCCACACUGGGACUGAGACACGGCCCAGACUCCUACGGGAGGCAGCAGUGGGGAAUAUUGGGCAAUGGGCGCAAGCCUGACCCAGCGACGCCGCGUGAGGGAUGAAGGCCUUCGGGUUGUAAACCUCUUUCAGUAGGGAAGAAGCGAAAGUGACGGUACCUAAAGAAGAAGCACCGGCUAACUAUGUGCCAGCCGCCGCAGUAA
rnacentral:rRNA from 1 species